rnacentral:rRNA from 1 species
AACGAACGCUGGCGGCAUGCCUAACACAUGCAAGUCGAACGAGACCUUCGGGUCUAGUGGCGCACGGGUGCGUAACGCGUGGGAACCUGCCCUUAGGUUCGGAAUAACUCCCCGAAAGGGGUGCUAAUACCGGAUAAUGUCUUCGGACCAAAGAUUUAUCGCCUUUGGAUGGGCCCGCGUUGGAUUAGCUAGUUGGUAGGGUAAAAGCCUACCAAGGCGACGAUCCAUAGCUGGUCUGAGAGGAUGAUCAGCCACACUGGGACUGAGACACGGCCCAGACACCUACGGGAGGCAGCAGUGGGGAAUAUUGGACAAUGGGCGAAAGCCUGAUCCAGCAAUGCCGCGUGAGUGAUGAAGGCCUUAGGGUUGUAAAGCUAUUUUACCCGGGAUGAUAAUGACAGUACCGGGAGAAUAAGCUCCGGCUAACUCCGUG